AGCACUGCCCAGUGGAGGGACUAGGGUGCUUGGUCUCCAGGAAAGAUGGUGCCUCUCCUGUAACACUAGCACCUUAUAUCCUAAGCACUCAUGUUCUGGCUUUUUGUCUUGGUAUGGUUCCCACAGACUCCUGUGUUUAUUUGGCUCCCAGAUGGUAGCACAGUUUUAGAAGAUUGCAGAACCUUUAAGAGACUGCAGACUGGAAGUAAUUACCCACUCUUCAUUCCUGCUACUGUUGGGUUCUGAGCAGAAGCUGAGAAAACUCACUUCAGAUCUGGAAGCUUAGAAAAUGAAAGCUAUAUUUUCUGAGUGCUUAGAGAGGCAGCCAGUUCUGGAUCUGAACCGCAUCCCUAAAGAGAGAUUGCACAACAUUUUUAAAGGAUGGGAACGCAAAGUGAGCAGGAAGCUGGGAGACUUCUGAUUGGGUCGGAAGCCCUUGUGGGCAGAUGCCCUUGAGAAAGCACUUCUCCUGUAAGGCUCUGUACAAGGCUGUGAUUCCAGUCAGUCCUUAUCAGACACAUGGGAAAAGGUGGAACCCCUUCGGAGACCUCCCAGAUUUAUGUGAAUAACUUGGCUCUGUCAUAUCCCUCGGUCCUAAUCUGUCUUGUCAUGGUGAAGAAAGAGUGGAGCCCAUAAAUGUUGGACAAGGAGACAAAAGGAACCUUUUCCUGGAUGUUUCAUCAUAGCUGAGAAAAAUGAUCAGGACCAUUGCAAGCUAGAAAGCCAUCAACCCGUGAACACAAGGAUGUGUUCUGUAGUCAUGGAUUCAACCAACCACAGACCAAAAAUCUUCCCAAAAAGUCUAUCUUCACUGGGCAGGAUGUAGGCCUCUGUGGUCUUCAGAAGAUGUGGCUACAUGGUAAACCAAGCCCAGCAGCAAGUUAACAACCAACACUGCUCCUGGCUCAGCCAGGGACUGACCACAGUUAAGGGCUCCCUGUUUGUUUGAACUUACACACUCUACAUCUAUGAAGAUGCAAUGGCGCUUCCCUUCUCUUCUUUACUGAGGUCUUCAGCCCUGCAGUGAACAGCUCUCCAUCUGGGCAGUUGUGAAGAGGAUACACAGCACAGAGCAGAGCAUUGUUGCCCAGCUGAUGUGCCUCCCUCUUACGGGAGCCCUGCCCAGUCCCUAGCAGAACAUCUGUGGCUACAAUAGUUUCAUUUCACAUUUGGACUCUGUCACAGGCGUCAU